CACACAGCUAUCGCCUUCUCUCCUGCUAAAUCCCUGCUUCCAACCUAACCACAAAUCACUGUCAUCCAGAGCGGCGAGGAAAGCAAACAGCUCACUCCUCUGCUAGUAAGCUUCUGUUUCAUUUAUUUAUAUAUUUACUUAUUUAUUUAUACUAAAGUCAUCCUGUCAGUUCUCUCGUCUUUUUGCCUGGCCCGUGUCACAAAGCCAUCAAGCCCAGCUGGCAGGCACGGCCAUGAAGAUGAGGACCCUUAACAGAAACACUGGACAUGCCAUCCAUCCCCUGCCUCUUGUGAGUUUACACAGAGGGCACCGGAAUUCAGGCAUGAAGCGCUGCUGAGGAAACUCUCUCUCAGGAACUGAAGUUACCUGGAACUGGGAGAAAAUGCUCUCCAUUCUUCAACUGUGCUGGAAGCUUUGCCCCUUUAAAAUUCAAGCAAAGUACAUUUUUUUUUUAUCUAAAUGAUUUUUUAUCUUCUUUCUAUGGCUGGUACAGGCACGUCCAUUUAAACCACCCUCCAAGUUCAACAUCACUCCUCACUGUCCUGACAAGAAAGCUGCUGCAGCUGGAAGCUCACUCGUCAGGUCCCACAUCCCAGGACGAUGGGGUAAUACUAAAAAUUAGAAAUUCUCUUCAGGAGAGAUUUCAGACCUUUCCCCCUCCCCUCUUCCUACAGGGACUCUAAGAAAUCUGUACUGCAAAACACCUUAUCUAAGACUGUGUCAACUCAGCAGAAUUGCAUGAGACCACAGAACUUUUUUGCUGAUUACUCUGUAAAAGCGUCACUUCUCCUCGGUUCCCAAAGGUAAUUAGUCAACAGAAGAGUGGUUUUUAAAUAUAUUUUUUUCUGCAUGGCUGCCGAACCAGUUGCACUCUCUCUCUGCUUUGAAGUCUGUUCCUGGAGACUCGCAGGAGUACAUUUUUAGAGCUCUUCCCUGAGCGGUGGCUGUUCACGCUCAGCGACUUGGGUAGCCUGAUGAAAAACAUCUACCUGCUCCACAGCAAUUCCUUGAGAAGUUCUCAUCCUCCUCUUAGUCAAUAUUCAGAUCUUAAGCCGGUAUAAAAUUGGGCACUUGAGUGAACCACAGAGCUGCACGAAUUUAAAAGCUGAAGAUCUUA
rnacentral:lncRNA from 1 species